GACUAAGCCAUGCAUGUCUAAGUAUAAGCUAUUAUACGGUGAAACUGCGGAUGGCUCAUUAUAUCAGUCAUAAUUUCUUUGAUAGUACCUUUACUUGGAUAACUGUUGGAAUCCGAGAGCUAAUACAUGCAAAAAGUCCUGACUGUGCCGGGCAACCGGAGCGGAAGGGAUGUAUUUAUUAGAUGUGAAGCCAAUGCGGGGCAUUCCAAACUGCGCGUAGAGGGCAACUUCUGCGCGUGGGCUCCGUUUGUGUGGUGAAACAUGAUAACUGAACGAAUCGCAUGACCUUGCGUCGGCGAUGUCUACCGUGGUUUUAACGGGUGACGGAGCAUUAGGGUGCGAUGCCGGAGAGGGAGCCUGAGAAACGGCUACCACGUCUACGGGCGGCAGCAGGCGCGUAAAUUACCCAAUCCUGACUCAGGGAGGUAGUGACAAUAAAUAACAAUGCUGGUCCUCAUAAGGGACUGGUAAUUGGAAUGAGGACGAUUUAAAAUAACUACCGAGUAGCAAUUACAGGGCAAGUCUGGUGCCAGCAGCCGCGGUAAUUCCAGCUGUAAUAGCGUAUUUUAAAGUUGUUGCAGUUAAAACGCUCGUAGUUGGAUUUUAGGACGUGACGGGUUUGGUCCGCGUUUCAGCGAGUACUGACCUGUCCGUUCUCCUUAUGGGAUACUCACCUCUGCGCUUAAUUGAGUGGAGGUAGCAGCCGGGCAACCGGUCGGGUUCCCAUUCUUUUACUUUGAAUAAAUCGUAUUUUGAUCAAAGAAGGCCGUAGUGCCAAUGGUCGAUGCAGCAUGGGAUAAUACAAUAAGCGUCUGUCUUGUUGUGUUGGUUUCUUAAAGAUGGACGAAUGAUUAAGAGGGAUAGUUGGGGGUUUUCGUAUUUAAUUGUCAGAGGUGAAAUUCUUGGAUUUGUUAAAGACGAACUACUGCGAAAGCAUUAACCAAGGAUGUUUUCAUUAAUCAAGAACGAAAGUAGGGGGAUCGAAGACGAUCAGAUACCGUCGUAGUCUCUACCAUAAACGAUGCCGACCAGUUAUUCGGAGACGUUAUUCUUAUGACUCCCCGAGCAGCUUGUGAGAAAUCAGAGUGUUUGGGUUCUGGGGGGAGUAUGGUCGCAAGGCUGAAACUUGAAGAAAUUGACGGAGGGGCACCACCAGGAGUGGAGCCUACGGC
rnacentral:rRNA from 1 species